CACAAGAUGAAUGUACCACAAAUUUUAAUCCUUCUAUUGUUGAUGGAUUUGGAUUAUUACCAACUUUUGGCCUUUGAGCCAGUCUAGGAUUCACGAUGUAACCAUGGAGCAGAUGCUUUGAGGUGAAUGACAUUUCCAGCAUUGAAGGACAGCAUAGACACGGAAAUACAUUUUAUGGCGUGCCAGUGGGUGUGGUGGGUCUCAGGGAUGCAAGGUGGGUGAGACUCCCUGUCUGUUCCUGAGGAGCUCUGGUGAGUGGGAAGGAGAAGGGAACACUCGAAGAGCAUGGCAGCCUUAAAGAGGCAGCGGGCUGAGGAGGCUCGCUCUGUGUUCAGAAAUUGGAACAGGGUUGUAGAAAGGAUGCUGUGUGGCUGUUAAAGUAAACUCCACCCAUUUUAGAAUUUUCAUUGAAAGUGGCCUCAAUGUCCAGAAAAGAGUGGGAAAAAUCUUUCCCCUUUUCAAAUUUGU
rnacentral:lncRNA from 1 species